rnacentral:rRNA from 1 species
UACGGAGGGAGCUAGCGUUGUUCGGAAUUACUGGGCGUAAAGCGCACGUAGGCGGUUUUUCAAGUCAGAGGUGAAAGCCCGGGGCUCAACCCCGGAAUAGCCUUUGAAACUGGAAGACUAGAAUCACGGAGAGGUGGGUGGAAUUCCGAGUGUAGAGGUGAAAUUCGUAGAUAUUCGGAAGAACACCAGUGGCGAAGGCGGCCCACUGGACGUGUAUUGACGCUGAGGUGCGAAAGCGUGGGGAGCAAAC